rnacentral:rRNA from 1 species
AGUUUGAUCCCUGCUCAGGACGAACGCUGGCGGCGUGCCUAAUACAUGCAAGUCGAGCGGACAGAUGGGAGCUUGCUCCCUGAUGUUAGCGGCGGACGGGUGAGUAACACGUGGGUAACCUGCCUGUAAGACUGGGAUAACUCCGGGAAACCGGGGCUAAUACCGGAUGGUUGUUUGAACCGCAUGGUUCAAACAUAAAAGGUGGCUUCGGCUACCACUUACAGAUGGACCCGCGGCGCAUUAGCUAGUUGGUGAGGUAACGGCUCACCAAGGCAACGAUGCGUAGCCGACCUGAGAGGGUGAUCGGCCACACUGGGACUGAGACACGGCCCAGACUCCUACGGGAGGCAGCAGUAGGGAAUCUUCCGCAAUGGACGAAAGUCUGACGGAGCAACGCCGCGUGAGUGAUGAAGGUUUUCGGAUCGUAAAGCUCUGUUGUUAGGGAAGAACAAGUACCGUUCGAAUAGGGCGGUACCUUGACGGUACCUAACCAGAAAGCCACGGCUAACUACGUGCCAGCAGCCGCGGUAAUACGUAGGUGGCAAGCGUUGUCCGGAAUUAUUGGGCGUAAAGGGCUCGCAGGCGGUUUCUUAAGUCUGAUGUGAAAGCCCCCGGCUCAACCGGGGAGGGUCAUUGGAAACUGGGGAACUUGAGUGCAGAAGAGGAGAGUGGAAUUCCACGUGUAGCGGUGAAAUGCGUAGAGAUGUGGAGGAACACCAGUGGCGAAGGCGACUCUCUGGUCUGUAACUGACGCUGAGGAACGAAUGGCGACAUAAAAU